rnacentral:rRNA from 1 species
ACAUCCAGAGAACUUAGCAGAGAUGCUUUGGUGCCUUCGGGAACUCUGAGACAGGUGCUGCAUGGCUGUCGUCAGCUCGUGUUGUGAAAUGUUGGGUUAAGUCCCGCAACGAGCGCAACCCUUAUCCUUUGUUGCCAGCGAUUCGGUCGGGAACUCAAAGGAGACUGCCGGUGAUAAACCGGAGGAAGGUGGGGAUGACGUCAAGUCAUCAUGGCCCUUACGAGUAGGGCUACACACGUGCUACAAUGGCGCAUACAAAGAGAAGCGACCUCGCGAGAGCAAGCGGACCUCACAAAGUGCGUCGUAGUCCGGAUCGGAGUCUGCAACUCGACUCCGUGAAGUCGGAAUCGCUAGUAAUCGUGGAUCAGAAUGCCACGGUGAAUACGUUCCCGGGCCUUGUACACACCGCCCGUCACACCAUGGGAGUGGGUUGCAAAAGAAGUAGGUAGCUUAACCUUCGGGAGGGCGCUUACCACUUUGUGAUUCAUGACUGGGGUGAAGUCGUAACAAGGUAGGCGUAGUGCU